UACCUGCCCGCAACAGGGGGAUAACCCGGCGAAAGUCGGACUAAUACCGCAUAAAACAGGGGUCCCGCAUGGGAAUAUUUGUUAAAGAUUUAUCGGUUGCGGAUGGGCAUGCGUACCAUUAGGUAGUUGGUGAGGUAACGGCUCACCAAGCCUUCGAUGGUUA
rnacentral:rRNA from 1 species